AGCAAAAUGUUGCGUAUAAUCUUUCAAGUCAGCCUGAUAAAAUAUUGAACAAUUUGUGUACAAAGAUAUCUUGAAAUGUGAUAUUAGGCCUGUAUGGCAGUACUGUUACUGUAUGGCAGUACUGUUACUGUAUGGCAGUACUGUAUUGGCUAGUGCUUUCUCCAAUAUGUUCUUCUAUUUUACUUUCAAUUGUAUGUCGAUGCCAUUUAUCUUUCAAUAUUUAUUUAAUAUAUAUAUGUUUUAAUGCUUGUAAGACUAUUCUUUGACACAUUUUCUCUUCCUUUGAAAUUCUUAUAGGACAGAACAUGGACACAAUGCAAUUGGGAUCAAGAAGAAGGACUCGAGAGCACAGCAGUGAUUCUGCUCUUGCCCAACCUCUUCAAUGAGGACCCGAGUGGCCUUUAUGUCCGUGACAAGAUUUCACCGCUCCUCACUCCUUUACUGCACAUCGGCGGAAAUCCAUUUCACCAUGAGAGUGAAAUCCCGCUGGCCUUUGAUGGGGAGAACAUCCACGCCCUCGAGGACGUCCCCAUGGGACAUGGGGCUCUGCUAGGGCUGUAUUUUAAAAUUUAUGUUCUAAAGUUACUGUGUUCUGGGGAUAAGAGAAGUUGGGGUGAAGUUACCAGGGCCGGUCAUAAAGAUGGCAAACUUCCUAACAUAACUAAGUGGAUACGAUAUACACACUGAAGCUGAAAAAUCUGUAUUUAGCAUCAAGUCUACAAUAUUGUUAGUUUACCCAUGAUUUAUUUUUAAUGUAUGUUGUUUUUAUUGUACAUCAUUAUUUUAGAUUUUUUAAAUGUCAUGAAAAGCACUAUACAAAGUAAAUGUAUUAUUUAUUAUGGUCUGACAUGUCUGCAGAAAUGUUGCAAUUUUGUCAUGUGUUUUUUUUUUGUAAAUUGUUUUGUAAAUAUUAAUUCACAUUUGUGGCGUCACUAAAUAAACA